rnacentral:rRNA from 1 species
AGUCGAGCGGUAAGGCCCUUCGGGGUACACGAGCGGCGAACGGGUGAGUAACACGUGGGUGAUCUGCCUCGCACUUCGGGAUAAGCCUGGGAAACUGGGUCUAAUACCGGAUAUGACUCCUGGUUGCAUGGCUGGGGGUGGAAAGAUUUAUCGGUGCGAGAUGGGCCCGCGGCCUAUCAGCUUGUUGGUGGGGUAAUGGCCUACCAAGGCGACGACGGGUAGCCGGCCUGAGAGGGCGACCGGCCACACUGGGACUGAGACACGGCCCAGACUCCUACGGGAGGCAGCAGUGGGGAAUAUUGCACAAUGGGCGAAAGCCUGAUGCAGCGACGCCGCGUGAGGGAUGACGGCCUUCGGGUUGUAAACCUCUUUCGACAGGGACGAAGCGYGAGUGACGGUACCUGUAGAAGAAGCACCGGCCAACUACGUGCCAGCAGCCGCGGUAAUACGUAGGGUGCGAGCGUUGUCCGGAAUUACUGGGCGUAAAGAGCUUGUAGGCGGUUUGUCGCGUCGUCUGUGAAAACUCACAGCUCAACUGUGAGCUUGCAGGCGAUACGGGCAGACUUGAGUACUGCAGGGGAGACUGGAAUUCCUG